rnacentral:rRNA from 1 species
GCAUAUCAAUAAGCGGAGGAAAAGAAACUAACAAGGAUUCCCCUAGUAACUGCGAGUGAAGCGGGAAAAGCUCAAAUUUAAAAUCUGGCGGUUCUUGUAGCCGUCCGAGUUGUAAUUUAGAGAAGCGUUAUCCGCGCUGGACCGUGUACAAGUCUCCUGGAAUGGAGCGUCAUAGAGGGUGAGAAUCCCGUCUUUGACACGGACUGCCAGGGCAUUGUGAUGCGCUCUCAAAGAGUCGAGUUGUUUGGGAAUGCAGCUCAAAAUGGGUGGUAAAUUCCAUCUAAAGCUAAAUAUUGAGGAGAGACCGAUAGCGAACAAGUACCGUGAGGGAAAGAUGAAAAGAACUUUGGAAAGAGAGUUAAACAGUACGUGAAAUUGCUGAAAGGGAAACGCUUGAAGUCAGUCGCGUCGUUCAGGACUCAGCCUUGCUUUGCUUGGUGUACUUCCUGUUCGACGGGUCAGCAUCAAUUUUGGUCGGUGGAAAAAGGCUUAGAGAAUGUGGCAUCUUCGGGUGUGUUAUAGCUCUGGGUCGCAUACAUCGGCUGGGAUUGAGGAACUCAGCACGCCGCAAGGCCGGGUACUUGUACCACGUACGUGCUUAGGAUGCUGGCAUAAUGGCUUUAAUCGACCCGUCUUGAAACACGGACCAAGGAGUCUAACAUGCCUGCGAGUGUUUGGGUGGAAAACCCGGACGCGUAAUGAAAGUGAAAGUUGAGAUCCCUGUCGUGGGGAGCAUCGACGCCCGGAGCAGACCUUCUGUGACGCAUCCGCGGUAGAGCAUGUAUGUUGGGACCCGAAAGAUGGUGAACUAUGCCUGAAUAGGGGUGAAGCCAGAGGAAACUCUGGUGGAGGCUCGUAGCGAUUCUGACGUGCAAAUCGAUCGUCGAAUUUGGGUAUA